rnacentral:rRNA from 1 species
GGCGGCUUCGGUCGUUUUUUGUUGACUCAGAAUAACUUAGCUGAUCGCAUGGUCUUGUACCGGCGACGUGUCUUUCAAGUAUCUGCCUUAUCAACUUUCGAUGGUAGUGUAUCUGACUACCAUGGUGGUGACGGGUAACGGGGGAUAAGGGUUCGACUCCGGAGAAGGGGCCUGAGAAAUGGCCACUACGUCUAAGGAUGGCAGCAGGCGCGCAAAUUACCCACUCUCGGAACGAGGAGGUAGUGAAGAGAAAUAACGAGACCGUUCUCUACGAGGCCGGUCAUCGGAAUGGGUACAAUCCAAACCCUUUAACGAGUAUCUAUGAGAGGGCAAGUCUGGUGCCAGCAGCCGCGGUAAUUCCAGCUCUCAAAAUGCAUAGAAUUAUUGCUGCGGUUAAAAAGCUCGUAGUUGAAUUUGUGCCAGGGAUUGGGUCCACCCUUGUUUGGUGCGUACUCAUCCUCCCUGGCUUGGCUGCCGGUUUUCUCGUCGUGGCCUUUAUUGUGCUGCGGCGAGUGGCUGGCGAUUUUACUUUGAACAAAUCAGAGUGCUCAACACAGGCGUUUCGCUUGAAUGUUUUUGCAUGGAAUAAUAGAAAAGGAUUUUGGUCUGAUUUUAUUGGUUUUAUUGACUGAAAUAAUGGUUAACAAGGAUAAACGGGGGCAUUCGUAUCGCUGCGUGAGAGGUGAAAUUCUUGGACCGCAGCGCGACGAACAACAGCGAAAGCAUUUGCCAAGAAUAUCUUUAUUAAUCAAGAACGAAAGUCAGAGGUUCGAAGGCGAUCAGAUACCGCCCUAGUUUUGACCGUAAACGAUGCCAACUAGCGAUCCGCCGGUGGAAAUUUUGCCCUGGUGGGGAGCUUCCCGGAAACGAAAGUCUUCCGGUUCCGGGGGAAGUAUGGUUGCAAAGCUGAAACUUAAAGGAAUUGACGGAAGGGCACCACCAGGAGUGGAGCCUGCGGCUUAAUUUGACUCAACACGGGAAAACUCACCCGGCCCGGACACCGUGAGGAUUGACAGAUUGAUAGCUUUUUCAUGAUUUGGUGGAUGGUGGUGCAUGGCCGUUCUUAGUUCGUGGAGUGAUUUGUCUGGUUUAUUCCGAUAACGAGCGAGACUCUAGCCUAUUAAAUAGUACGCACAUUGUUAUUGUGUGUUUGUGACUUCCUAAAGGGAUUUUCGGUGUACAGCCGCAAGAGAUUGAGCAAUAACAGGUCUGUGAUGCCCUUAGAUGUCCGGGGCUGCACGCGCGCUACACUGGCGAAAUCAGCGUG